rnacentral:lncRNA from 1 species
AUGACUAAGUGUCAGAAGUCAGGUUUUCUGAGAAUUACUUUUCAGAUAAACAACUUUAUAGCACAGCACUUAAUCUUACUUACUAGAGACAUCUCAUUUAUCACUGAAUUACAAGGAAACCAGCUUCUUUUCAUUUCAUCAACAAAACUGGACACGGAUCAAUUUCAACUGACCUUUGCCGAAAGGUGGCGCUGUUGAGAGCCAGGCAGAAGAGGAGGCGAGAAGCAUGAAGUGUUAACUCCCCGGUGCCAAGGCCUGCGCCGCCCGGACAGCCGCCCGCCGCGCCUGCAGCCCCGAACGGCCGCCGCGCGCGCCCCGCCUGCAGCCGGGGCCAGCAAGCCGAGCCGAGCCCUCCUUAUGCAAAGCGCGCAGCGGAGCGGCGAGCGGGGGACGCCGCGCACCCAGCCGGGUUCCUCCGGCUUCGCCGCCGCCGCCGCCACCGCAGCCCGUGGAGGACCUUCCCGAGCCUGAAGCCGCCGACUCGGCGCGCUAGGAGGCGAGCAGGCGAGGAGGGGCCGGGGCGAGCGAGCGAGCACAUUGGCGUGAGCCGGGGCGGGGGGGAGGGAGGGCGGGCGCGGGGGGCGCGGGCAGGGCGGCGGGGGUGUGUGUGUGUGUGU